UAAAGUGGCGUACGGGUGAGUAACACGUGGAUGAUCUGCCUUUUAGUGGGGAAUACCGCUGGGAAACCGGUGACAAUACCGCAUAAUCCCGAGAGGGGAAAGCAAUUAAAUGCGCUGAAAGAGGAGUCCGCGGUCGAUUAGUUAGUUGGCAGGGUAAAAGCCUACCAAGACUGUGAUCGAUAGCCGGCCUGAGAGGGCACACGGCCACACUGGCACUGAAACACGGGCCAG
rnacentral:rRNA from 1 species